GACGAACCACACAAACGUUAUUCGGAAUUACUGGGCUUAAAGGGUGCGUAGGCGGCCUUAUAAGUCAGUGCUGAAAUAUCCCGGCUUAACCGGGAGGGUGGCAUUGAUACUGUAGGGCUUGAGUAAAGUUGAAGUUGGCGGAAUUGACGGUGUAGCGGUGAAAUGCUUAGAUAUCGUCAAGAACACCGAUAGUGAAGACAGCUAACUAAGCUUUAACUGACGCUGAGGCACGAAAGUGUGGGGAUCAAACAGG
rnacentral:rRNA from 1 species